rnacentral:ncRNA from 2 species
GGUCAUGAGCGCCAGCGACAAGCCCCGGCUUGCUGGCCGGCAACCCUCCAACCGCGGUGGGGUGCCCCGGGUGAUGACCAGGUUGAGUAGCCCCUCCCGGCUACACGGCAAGCGCGGGUC